CUGUGACUGAAGAAACUCAAACAGACCUGGACAACAAAGUGAUCCAACUGAGGAACCAGACCCAGGAAAUUGAAGAUGAAAUCAAAGCAGUGGAAAAGGUGGAAUCGAUGUACAAAGAAUGGAAAAGUGAAGUUCAAAACCAGAAUGGACUCGUGACAAGUCAA